rnacentral:lncRNA from 1 species
AAGCAGUCGCGGCGCCGGCAACGCCGCGUCUCCGGUUGCCAGGGCGCCGCCCCGGAAGUAGAGCGCGGCGGGCGGAGGGCCGGUCCGCGCCGGGUAAGCGGGCCGAGUCCUCCAGAGAUCGUUGAGUGGGGCUGGAGGCGGGGCCGGGCCGCGGCGCGGGGCCGCCGUGCUCCGCGCUCCUGGGCGCUUCUCAGCGCUCUGCGCCCACAGGAGGAAGUCACAGGAAAACAAUCUGACAUCAGGUAAGAACCCGAGGCAAGAAUCAGGGAGACUGAAGAGAAAUCGGACGUUCCUGUUGGCUCCAUAAAUACCUAUGAGUCAGCUCCAGGGUGCCCUGCCCAGGAUACCCUCCCACCCGCCGACCCAGCUCCCACGGCCCAGGCACGUCCCCUCGCCGCGCCUGUCACAGCUGCCGGUCAAUGCGUGCAGCCUCUAUUUCCCAUUUGACCAGACUCUCAGGCUCAGCACGGCUGGUAUUUGGGACUGGGGGUUGUUG